GUUGGAAUAGCUGGAUCAAAUGGUGGUUCCAUUCCAAGUUUUCUUAGGAAUAUUCAUAUUGUUUUCCAGAGUGGUUGUACCAAUUUGCAGUCCCACCAGCAAU
rnacentral:pre_miRNA from 1 species